UACGUAGGGUGCAAGCGUUGUCCGGAAUUAUUGGGCGUAAAGAGCUCGUAGGCGGUUUGUUGCGUCGGCUGUGAAAUCCCGAGGCUCAACCUCGGGUCUGCAGUCGAUACGAGCAAACUAGAGUGUUGCAGGGGAGACUGGAAUCCUGGUGUAGCGGUGAAAUGCGCAGAUAUCAGGAGGAACACCGGUGGCGAAGGCGGGGUCUCUGGGGCCGAUACUGACGCUGGAGGAGCGAAAGCGUGGGGAGCGAACAGG
rnacentral:rRNA from 1 species